GCCCAAGAGAUCGGGAUAACACCUGGAAACAGAUGCUAAUACCGGAUAACAACAGAUGAUGCCUAUCAACUGUUUAAAAGAUGGUUCUGCUAUCACUCUUGGAUGGACCUGCGGUGCAUUAGCUAGUUGGUAGGGUAACGGCCUACCAAGGCGAUGAUGCAUAGCCGAGUUGAGAGACUGAUCGGCCACAUUGGGACUGAGACACGGCCCAAACUCCUACGGGAGGCAGCAGUC
rnacentral:rRNA from 1 species